ACAUUGGAAUCCUCACCAGAUCUCCGUCGUGGGCUUCCAGGACUUCUAAGAUACAAAAGAGAGUCCCAGGAAAGAACGUACAGUCCUCAGCCCCAACAGCAACUGGACUCUCCAAUAUGCUGUCAGUUCUGUGGUUCGAGAGCUUGGCCGCCUCUGGAUCCGGUUUAUGCAGAGACACGAGAGGACUUCUGCUGUGAGAAAUACAGAGAGUUGUUUGAGAUUGUGGUCCAUGAAAAGCAUCUAGCUAUGGAACGUUCUGAUGCAAGGCCUAGUGGACCUGCUCGACUAGAUGACCCCUUCAUCACUGAGGACGAAGAACUACAAGAUAAAGCACAAGAAAGAGGAAAACGCAGUUUCAGACAGCAGCAGAGAGAGAUGCAGAGAUAUGACAGAGAUGCUCACUCCAGUUUAUUGGCAUCAAACAACAGUGAGUAUCCACAUGUGUUGGACAGGAUGCCCAUGGAUGGACCAUUAACAAAAAAUGCUACAUUUUGUCAUUAUUUACUACCUGUUAUACAAUAAAAC
rnacentral:lncRNA from 1 species